UACGGAGGAUCCAAGCGUUAUCCGGAAUCAUUGGGUUUAAAGGGUGCGUAGGCGGGCAGGUAAGUCCGUGGUGAAAUCUCUGAGCUUAACUCAGAAACUGCCAUGGAUACUAUUUGUCUUGAAUAUUGUGGAGGUAAGCGGAAUAUGUCAUGUAGCGGUGAAAUGCUUAGAUAUGACAUAGAACACCAAUUGCGAAGGCAGCUUACUACACAGUUAUUGACGCUGAGGCACGAAAGCGUGGGGAUCAAACAGG
rnacentral:rRNA from 1 species